UUCGCGAUUCAGUCCGAAUGAUUCAGCUCACUAACUAGUUUCAGUAAAACACGCAAGAUCAUGGAUAUUUACAUACAAUGCAUCGAAAUCAAACCUUAAAAUCCAUUCUAUAGUUUCCCAGCGAUGAAGAUGGACUUGUGAAAGACUCUGUACUACAGCUCCUGAAACGCGGAGGAUCGGCCGCUUUCCCGAAGCAGAUGAGGAUGUUGAAAGAGACGGACUGCCUUCAUGUGCUGGCGCUGGAUCUCGCUGGGCGGAUGAGCUGAGGUGACGUAUGAAGACACCAGACUGACCUCUCGGACGCCGCGGGGAGAAGAUACGGAUUGGAGCGCAGGAUAAAUGCCGGCAGAGAGAGAAGUGUUGACACAUCCACUCGUUAAACAACACAAUAAAGACUCGCGCCUCGAGCGCCGUCCCUGCCUGUUUGUUCGCUCGUGUCCGAGAUUUAAUUGAUGUUCCCUGGAACCGCUUUCAUUCCGACGGCUCUUGCUCAAAGGUCACCAGAAGUUCAGUCUAAACUUCUGAAGUGUUGGAGCUGGAAUAUGGAUGCUGAAAAGAUGGAAUAUCUUCUGAAUUGGUCCAGAUGGACCUGCAUCAACAAACUCCAGCCAUCUUCUGAAAGUCUGAGAAUGACAAACCUGGUGUUGAUCGGCUCGGGCCUGAAACCGCUGAGAGCUAUCAGUGCUAAUCUAUCUGACGGCCACUUUCUGAAGAGAGCUUCGGAGAGCUAUUAUCCUUGAUGUGUCAAGAUAUUGCUUGGUAAAAGAGAUGGCAAUAUAUAUAUAUAUAGCAGCCACUGUAGCAAUCUUAGGGCUGAAGAUUGAUGUUGCAGUGAUCAGAAGAGAAGUUAUUUGGCCAGAGAAUGGCCAUUUUAUGAAUUUUGUUUGGAAUGACUCAAUAGCGGUGGUGAUUUCUGAUACAAAUAAAAGGCGAAAGAUGUUUUGAUUUGGUGGAGCGUCUGUGGAGAAGAAUCAGGUACUGCUGAGAAUCAACUCAUUUUCUCUAAAGGUGCUUUUUGAUGCAUGUGUGUGUGUGUGUCUGUCUAUGCGUUUCUUUCUU